rnacentral:rRNA from 1 species
CCCUUAGAUGUUCUGGGCCGCACGCGCGCUACACUGUUCGACGCAGCGAGUCUUAACCUUGACCGAAAGGUUUGGGUAAUCUUCAGCAAAGUCGAACGUGAUGGGGAUCGAUCAUUGCAAUUAUUGAUCGUGAACGAGGAAUUCCUAGUAAGUGCAAGUCAUCAGCUUGCGCUGAUUACGUCCCUGCCCUUUGUACACUCCGCCCGUCGCUACUACCGAUUGAAUGGUUUAGUGAGAUCUCUGGAUUGACGCUGGCUAGGGGGCGACCCUUGGCCAGACUGUUGAGAAACUGCUCAAACUUGAUCAUUUAGAGGAAGUAAAAGUCGUAACA